GGGGUACCUUUUGUUGCAGCCAUGAGUACCCUCGUGCUUUUCCUAAUACCUUUCUGAGCCCACUUGAUGCUCAUAUGAAGAACCAAACAGGUGGCUAUGAUGUGUUAUGAGCUGAGCCAAAUUUGGUAAAAUUUGUCUUAUCAUCGCGCACACAAAUUGUUGUAUUCGCAACUUGUUUAACGAUGUCAUUGGAACCGUUUGAUUAAUGGUUGUUUUGCCAAACUGGCUAAAUGCUCAUGUAUAACCUCAAAAGUGCUGUUAAUAUUUGGUGUUAAAAGCACGGUGGGAAGUCAUCGUGAUUGCCAUUACAGGUAUUUCGCUGACCAAACACACAGCGACACAUUUCAAAAUUAUGCAAAUGGGUGCAUUUUUUGUACAGUGACUCAUAAUUGAACUUUUCUUCAGUUGGGUUUUAAAUUGUAUUGUUGAAUUAGGUACGGUAGCUAUAUAGAUCUCUCUACAUCUAUUUACAUGGUGUUCUGAUUUUAGAUUACAAUAAAAUCAAGAGUGUGAAGUAUAGACCCCGUAAUUAAUGCUGCCUCCAAUGCUUCUGUCAAUUGGUUGCAUGAAUUCCUAUCUUUAUCACUUGGUCUUCUGUUAUUAUCUUGUGGUUGUGAUGGUUGAUCAAUGAAAGAGUGAAAAUUAGUAUUAUCAAAUUGAAAUUUGUUUUUGAUUUUAGAGUUUCUCUGGAAAAGUAUUCUUUGAUGAGGCCUAUUUCCCAGGUUGUUCAUGAAAUAGAUUGAUCACUGAGGGAAGCAUACCAAUCCUGGCUGCCUAAUGUUCUCCAAUUAACACGCUCAGUAAUUGGGAUCUCAGAAGUCUCUUUCCUCAUACCAGCACUUUCCUGCCUUCCGCAUUUGGUUCCUUAAAAACUAUAAGGAGAUCGUAAGUUCUAAUUCCCUUCACCUCCUUGGAAUAAUUUAAACUUCCUCACGGUUGUGCUUGCCCCACAAGCAUUUCUGCAGUUUUGGUUCAGUGCCCAUACUUCUUGCUAAAUGUGCUGCAAGCAAUAGAUACACCUUAGAUGAAACUGUAGUCAGGUAUCCAGGUUCUUAUCAUAUGUAUUCAACUGUUGGUUUCUUGCUAAAUUACCAAUUAUGGUAGUUUCAUAAACUUGUGAGGGCUGUCAAUAUACUUUCAUACCAGCUAUCACAAAGUUUUGUCUGAAUGAGUUGUGUUAGAACCCACAGUAAACAAGUAAAAUACAGAUACUUAAAUGUGCCUCCUAAGGUCUAAUGGGUGUUUGAUAAUAAUGUACCAUUUGUUCAAAUUUCCUGUUUAGUUUUGUCUAAUAAGUCUUUCUUUUUCUCUAAAGCGAUCAUGAACUUCUUGGAACAAAGUGCAAAUAGAUCUAUUUUACUGCUUUUGGUAUGGCAAUCAAUAAUCAUCUUUUUAAUGGAACUUGGCAUUUGAACAAAGUGCAAGUUACAGAACUUGGACUAUUAUGUAGGGAUCAUGUCAUUGCUUUUAAGAUAAAAACAGAGAGAUUACUUUUCCCAGUUUUACCAUGUGGAGUGUCCUUGUGGAGUCGGAUCUUUGUGUAGGGUUGAUUCUUACUCAUUGCCAAGUAAGUGUCCAUAGUUUUGUAAAUUACAUUCCAAAUACUACGGUAUUGAUCAUUUUCCUCUUGCUCUAAUAAAUGUGCAUUUUCAGAUCUGUUACCAUGUCCUUGAGCUAUUACAUGGAAUUUGGACCCCUAUUCUUUGAUCUAUGAAAGAUUAUAUUGCGACUCCAAAACCUAAUGGUUAUCAGAGUCUUCAUACAACAAUAAUUCCAUUUCUUUAUGAGACCAUGUUUCAGCUACAAGUUCAGGUUUGGUCUUUAAUCUCCAACUUUUUUCUCAUUAUGCAAUUUCUCUUUUUUGAUUCUCUAAAUGUUGUUUAAUGUCAUAUCCUUAUUACUCGUCACUUUUAGUCCUUUGAAAAACAUUCAAUUUGAGAUGGGAUGUACUAUUAAAACCUUACAGUGAUCUGUUGAAUUUAUGAAAAAAUAUAGCCCUUAACAGCGAAGAAUAGUAAAGAAGGAUUCAUGUAUCAGAUGCCCUUUAAUUGUAACAUGGGGCUUAGUUUUGUUUGGAUUUCCCUUCUGGUAUUCAGUCAUAUUUUCCCUUUUUAUGGUUGACACAUAAGAACUAAAGAGGUGGAUCUGAUAGUAGAGAGAGGCAUUGCUACCCCUUAUAGUGGCAAGGUUUUGGUUAACGGUUUAGUUGGUCAUGCAAGCAUUGCCCUCAGGGUAUUUCUCUUUGAUCCUUGCUAAUUUAAUAGUCUUCCUUCAUCCUUUAAGGAAUUUUCUUUUUACAUUUCUUUGGAUUUUCAUUCCUAUUCUAUUUCUUCAUUCCCUCCUACAUGAAUUUAUAAAACCCGUCUAACUGAUGUGCGCAGUAUCAAUCCACUCAAUCCAAAGGGCCGGGGAUGUAAGUGUCCUAUGGUUAGACACACCCCCUUUAGAUGGAGGGGUUUCAUGAGAAAAGAAAGCAAAAAAUAGCUUUUUGACCUUUUCAUUUCCAUUUGAAGAUUUUAAAUAAUGACUUUACUAUACCCAUGCUUAUUAGCUUUUCUUUUUGGUUUUCUCACCAAUGCUACAAUAGGGAGAUAUGUUGGUGGUUGGGUUGAAGGACUAGGAAUGGUAUUAAAUGUAAUUGCUGGCUUAUGUACUACGUUGAUUAGCUAUGAACAUAACUUAUUGUGUGGUUGUCACUUAAUUUUGUUAAGUCUGCCUUUAAUUUCUAAGUGAGUUGUCCUGCUUUUCUAGCUGAUUGCGAUCCAGUAGUGUAAUGUGGAAUAAUGCAUUUGUCAUUUCGUUCAAUCUGUAUUUCAUGGUUUUGGAUAGGUCAACCCUUUCGAAUUACUAUGCAGUAUAUGAAUUUUUGUAGCUUCCCAUGUGAAUUUAGCCUCUCUUGCAUGAAGAUAAUAUUGAAAAGACUAAGAAAAGUUGAUAGUUCAAUUUAAGGAUGAGGAAUGGGUUAAAGUGUUGUUGGCUCAUGAGAUACUAUAUUGAUUAACAAUGAAUAUAAUUUUUUACACGGUCACAUCUUAUUUUUCUUGUUUAACUCUGCUUUUAAUUGUUUCCUAAUCUUCUUAGGCAUUGUCAAGCAUAAUUUUAUAUGAGGUAUGCGUCACAUAAUACAAUUCCUGCCCGCUUACUUUGGAUACCCAACAAUCGCUUAUUAAGUAUCCAAUGUGCUUUUAACAUAUAAUGCAACAGUUGCUCAUUUCCUUACUCGCACGUAUAACUUUGAAAACGCAUCACCUUUGGCGAUGAUUUUGUGGAAAGUGAAAUGAUUUAGAUGAGCAUGAGUCACUGUACAAGAAAUAUAAAUAUAUCAAGGAUCUUGUUCAUACUAUUCAUGUUAAUAGUCAAUCAGUUUUUAAGAUCACCGAUUAUGCUUAUAAUUUAGAUGAUAAUAUUUGCAGAAACUUGUUGAUCAAUCAUGGAGAUCUUUGAUUGGUAACACGUUUUGGCUGCCACUCAAACACCAGGAGAAACAGGAAAGAAGCGAUUCUAAAGAGCUGCAGAUUAUAAUUUACGUGGGUAUUUGAGGUAUGUGCUAACCUUAGAAUCAUUCACUAUCAAUCUGUUUUUAAUAUUUAAAACUUUAAAAGGACUAAUUCCAAACACUAUGCUGGCUCGGUGGUUUUUGUGGGGCCUCGCCACUGCUGAGUUCGCUUCCUUUCUCGACUUUCUUCCGUUCGUUUCAAUCUUCCCGCGUUUUCUGAACGCUGAGCGGUGGAUGAGGUUCAGGUGGCCGAUAAAUAUCCGCCUUACUCGACAAGUUUGUCUAAUUUUUUCCUCCUGUUGACUGACUCUAUUUGUGCAUGUGUUGUGGUGUUCUAAGAAUAAAUGGAUGUGGGUGUGCGUUUACACAAACUGCUGGUUUUAAUUCAAAGGCAAUACAUUGUUAGUCCGUUAUAGUAUCCAGUUAAGAAUAUAGGUUUAGGUUCUGCGCCUUCUGCCUAAGCAAUUGACUGUUAGUCCUAGAGCCACACACACUGUUUAAAUUGUUCAAUGCGGCAUUUAUAGGAAAAUAGUAAGGUACGCCUGUUUCGUUGUACCUAAGGUUCCACGGUAAUGAGUUGACUUGAUUAUUUCUCAUGUUGUUACCUAUCUGAUGCAAUGGAUGAUGAUGAAUUGUUAGUUUUUGGAAGAAAUAUAAAUAUUGGAACCACAUUUUGAUUUUCUGAAAUGAAUAAAUGGCUGUGCCUCUUUAUUUUGUUUCUCUAAUCAGUAGUAUCACGUGUUUUCUGAGUGUGCUUAUUCAAACAAAAUUUGGAGUAUGAUAAUGGACAGAUGCAAUAUUCAAACUUCAGAAGACCUCUUUUCUGGUCAGAGGAACUGGGAUGGGCAAGUGGUUAUCUUGGGGGAACCUCCUUCCAUUCUGCUAUUCUCAGGCUGCAGUUUGCCGCUGUUGUCUAUGAUUUUUGGUUGGAAAGAAAUGCUAGAGUUUUUGCAGGAAAAGUCAGGUAUUUCAGUUCUGUUCUCAAUUGCAUCAGUGGUGACAUGAGGAACAGGAUUUGUACAUGGAAGAAAAUAGGCAAUAGUCAUAAGAACUGGUCCUUAUAUUUAGUUGGAAUGUCCCUACUAAGAUUCUAAAAGACUGAUUUGUAGCGUUUUGUUUUGGCUCUUUUUGCUUGCUGUGUAUUCAUGACUUUCCUAUUUCCAACUUGUCCAAGACCGUCGUUGAACUCUUUCUUUUUUUUGAUCGGACCGUCGUUGAACUUCAGACAUGCAUUUUGCGCAAAUGUACUUUGUUC